rnacentral:rRNA from 1 species
CGGGCUUCCUAGAGUGUAGGCUUUGCCUGCUAUCUCUUACCCAUGUCUUUUGAGUACCUUCGUUUCCUCGGCGGGUCCGCCCGCCGACUGGACAAUUUAAACCAUUUGCAGUUGCAAUCAGCGUCUGAAAAAACUUAAUAAUUACAACUUUCAACAACGGAUCUCUUGGUUCUGGCAUCGAUGAAGAACGCAGCGAAAUGCGAUAAGUAGUGUGAAUUGCAGAAUUCAGUGAAUCAUCGAAUCUUUGAACGCACAUUGCGCCCCUUGGUAUUCCAUGGGGCAUGCCUGUUCGAGCGUCAUUUGUACCUUCAAGCUUUGCUUGGUGUUGGGUGUUUGUCUCGCCUCCGCGUGUAGACUCGCCUCAAAACAAUUGGCAGCCGGCGUAUUGAUUUCGGAGCGCAGUACAUCUCGCGCUUUGCACUCAUAACGACGACGUCCAAAAGUACAUUUUUACACUCUUGACCUCGGAUCAGGUAGGGAUACCCGCUGAACUUAAGCAUAUCAU